UGGAGGUCUGCCUGCCCCGCAACCACUUCCCUUCCCGUCUUCCCUCACACCCCUCUCCUCCUUUACAGCCAUCUUCUUCCCAUCUUCCCGACUGGCCGAUCCUGAUGGUCCUGCUAGUGCCUAAGUGCCUGUGAGUGAGGGAGGAAAAGAAGAGCAAGCAUAACUGAUCAGUGCAUAAGGGAAAAGGUCUGCCCAUUCCAUUGUCUUCAAGGUCCACAAGGCAAGUGUGAUUACACUCAUCAGUUCCAUUGAUGAACCCGUGGAGAGAAAUGAGGCCAGCAGCACUUUCUGCAGAAAUUCUAAACUAUUCACAAACAUAUGGAACAAUGCUCAAAAUUACUAAUAAUUAGGAAAAUGCCGAUUAAAGCAACUCUGUGGUUCUA